rnacentral:lncRNA from 12 species
AAAGACGUGAGAAAGAUGGCAUAGGAGUAAAUGGGAGCUUGAUUUACUUGUGAGAUGCAAGUGUAACUAGUAUCACUAUUUGCAUGCCACAAGUAUAAGCAACAUGGCCACUCACAUGCACUAUUUUUUUGCGAUAUGGCUGUUCAGAAACACACAAGUCAUUUGGCACCCCUUCCUUUAAGUACCAUGGCCGUUUGCAGUGUUAGGAAAGGUUUGCUUGAAAAAUCUCUCGUUCCACUCCUAAUUGUAAAUACAGGUGGAUGACAUGAGUUUAGGGGGAAAAACUAAAAUAUUUAUCAGUCUUAGCAGUUCAUUUCAAUCCUGUUGAAUGUCUUAUGUCUGAUUUUCAUAGCUUGUCUUCUUUUCAAAACACACAGUGGGGGUUAGCUGUUUUUCUUUAGAAGUAGUAUAAUGGGUGCAUACAUGCAUAUAUAUGUGUAAUUUAUAUAUUUUUUCUCACUUCUAGAUUAUAACUAAUUUUUGCCUGAACUUAACAAGAUUCCAGGAGGUUGCUCUGUGUGGUUCCAAGAGGCGAAACACAGGGUCCCUAGUGCAGCUAACUGCUCAUUAUCUCCUCUGCCAUUGAGACAGUCAUGUUACGAGGACACCCAGUGCUAGUUUCUGCUCCCAUCUGUGUGCAGUGCCAACCACUCCACUGCUUUGAACCAGGGUGAAAGUGGAAGCUUCCUCCAUGAAGGCACAGCUCUUUCUCUGGCUCCUAUGUGACUUCACCUAUACUCUGCCCCUUUCUGCUACUCAGGUUAUAAAACCAAUUGAUGUGACGACAAAUACCCACCAUUUGCUUCAACGUGGAUGGAACUGUAUAGGGUAUUAUGCUGAGUGAAGUAAGUCAAUCGGAGAAGGACAAACAUUAUAUGUUCUCAUUCAUUUGGGGAAUAUAAAUAAUAGUGAAAGGGAAUAUAAAGGAAAGGAGAGGAAAUGUGUGGGAAAUAUCAGAAAGGGAGACAGAACAUAAAGACUCCUAACUCUGGGAAACGAACUAGGGGUGGUGGAAGGGGAGGAGGGCGGGGGGUGGGGGUGAAUGGGUGACGGGCACUGAGGGGGGCACUUGACGGGAUGAGCACUGGGUGUUAUUCUGUAUGUUGGUAAAUUGAAC